AUGGGUGCGGUUGGCCGCUGUGGUCCCGUCGGUGCCCUCGGCCGGGCUGGAGACGGCCCAAGCAGGUCGGCCCCCUCGCCGCCCCUCCCCUGCUCUGCCUCUGCUUCACGCGAGGAACAGGGCGAGGGGGAGGAAGGGGACGAGCACCCAUGCCCUCCUCCCCCUGCGCCUGGGACCGACGCGCCGGUGCCCCAGCACCUUGCCAUGUGGAUAAGUGGAGAAGGCGUAAUCUGCCCGAAGGCGCUUUCAGUUUUUCCUCCAAGGACCUGUUUGUUGAAGUUUUAUUCACAGAUUGGUCCCUGGUGUUCAACACCUCAUAACUCCGCAACCGUAACUCUGAUUGAGGUGAAUCCAACGCCCACUUCUUCGUCUCGUCAAACCCGUUCUUUCAUAACCAUUUUCACUAUGUUUCAACAUUCUAGAAAUGACCAUUUUGCCCUUGCCCCUAAUCAGCCCCCUCCGAGAGAGAACCCAUUUCGGCGAUUCUUUCCGCGGCUUCACCGCACUUCUCCCCGGAGCCUCCUUCAUCCCCAGGAAAGACACAACCACCAUUUGCAUGAUAGCCAUGCAGAAGCAUGGGUUUUCAACUUGAAUCUUUAA
rnacentral:rRNA from 1 species